AAGAUGAAUCAAAGAAGGUAAUAAUCCUGUAGUCGAAAAUGUUGUCUCUCUUGAGUGGAUCCUGAGUACGACGGAGCACGUGAAAUUCCGUCGGAAUCUGGGAGGACCAUCUCCUAAGGCUAAAUACUCUCUAGUGACCGAUAGUGAACCAGUACCGUGAGGGAAAGGUGAAAAGCACCCCGGAAGGGGAGUGAAAUAGAACCUGAAACCGUGUGCUUACAAGUAGUCAGAGCCCGUUAAUGGGUGAUGGCGUGCCUUUUGUAGAAUGAACCGGCGAGUUACGAUUUGAUGCAAGGUUAAGCAGUAAAUGUGGAGCCGUAGCGAAAGCGA
rnacentral:rRNA from 1 species